GACGAACGCUGGCGGCGUGCUUAACACAUGUAAGUCGAACGGAAAGGCCCUGCUUUUGUGGGGUGCUCGAGUGGCGAACGGGUGAGUAACACGUGAGUAACCUGCCCUUGACUUUGGGAUAACUUCAGGAAACUGGGGCUAAUACCGGAUAGAAGCUCCUGCUGCAUGGUGGGGGUUGGAAAGUUUCGGCGGUUGGGGAUGGACUCGCGGCUUAUCAGCUUGUUGGUGGGGUAGAGGCUUACCAAGGCUUUGACGGGUAGCCGGCCUGAGAGGGUGACCGGCCACAUUGGGACUGAGAUACGGCCCAGACUCCUACGGGAGGCAGCAGUGGGGAAUAUUGCACAAUGGGCGGAAGCCUGAUGCAGCAACGCCGCGUGCGGGAUGACGGCCUUCGGGUUGUAAACCGCUUUCGCCUGUGACGAAGCGUGAGUGACGGUAAUGGGUAAAGAAGCACCGGCUAACUACGUG
rnacentral:rRNA from 1 species